GCUGGGUGCAGUGGCACACGCCUGUCAUCCCAGUGGCUCGGAGGCUGAGGCAGGAGGAUGAGAGUUCAAAGCCAGCCUCAGCAAAAGCGAGGCCUUAAGCAACUCAGUGAGACCCUGUCUCUC
rnacentral:sRNA from 1 species